rnacentral:sRNA from 1 species
UGGUGAUGACUCACAGGGUAGAGCAUCUGCUGCUCUCUCAGAAGAACCACAUGGACCCUAACAAUUGGGUGCUUCCUACACAAGAAGUCACAUGACCAGAGAGUGUCAUUUGGCAAGGAAACAAGAACUUGUUCAAAGGUCUGCAUAGGAACCAAUCUAUCACGUGGAUAUGCAAUAAUGAGAUGAUGCUGGGUCUGGACGUUGCUGGUCUUUAUCUUUCUUGUUGAAGUCAACCAAAUAUUUCUGGUUCAGUGCACACUCAAGAUGUACCUCC